rnacentral:rRNA from 1 species
GCAUUCAGUUGCCAUCGGUAAGGCCGGGCACUCUGGAUGGACUGCCGGCGACAAGCCGGAGGAAGGUGGGGACGACGUCAAGUCAUCAUGGCCCUUAUGUCCAGGGCGACACACGUGCUACAAUGGCCGGCACAACGGGAAGCGAAGGGGCGACCCUGAGCGGAUCCCACAAAAGCCGGUCCCAGUUCGGAUUGCAGUCUGCAACUCGACUGCAUGAAGUUGGAAUCGCUAGUAAUCGUGGAUCAGCCAAGCCGCGGUGAAUACGUUCCCGGGCCUU